rnacentral:sRNA from 1 species
UAACCGUUGCUUUGGUGUCCACUCGAAAA